UUCAGUUGCAGGUGUUCAGAACAGGUCUUCCCAACAUGUGCUACUUUGGCAUGUGGUUUCUUUUGAGUUAAAGACAAUGGAGACCCCGUGGGCUCAUGAGAAACUGCUACCCCUCCCUUUACUACUUGCUGCUGCUGCUGCUAAGUCGCUUCCGUCGUGUCCAACUCUGUGCGACCCCAGAGACGGCAGCCCACCAGGCUCCCCCGUCCCUGGGAUUCUCCAGGCAAGAACACUGGAGUGGGGUGCCAUUUCGUUCUCCAAUGCAUGAAAGUGAAAAGUGAAAGUGAAGUCACUGAGUCUUGUCCGACUCUUAGCGACCCCACGGACGGCGGCCCACCAGGCUCCUCCGUCCAUGGGAUUUUCCAGGCAAGAGUACUGGAAUGGGGUGCCAUUGCCUUCUCCGCCUUUACUCCUUAGAAGAAUUUAAAUUGGAGGGCAAACACCUAAUGACCCGACAUCUGAUCUUAUCCUGUGAAUGACCCUUCUGUCCGUGGAAGCCCAGGCCCCGUCACAUUCCUUAACUGAGGAAUGCGCAACAUCGUUGGAAGAGAUCAGCAUCACCACUCAACUGAAAAACAGUGCUUGUAGAAGAGUAAAGCAUGGUGUGUUAGAACAAGCACUCAGUGACUGAGGGCCCUGCCAAUAUCCAGACUCUGACAAUUUGCAAUAGGACCAUCUUGAAC
ensembl:lncRNA